GGAAGUGACAGGGCCAUAGCUGGCCGGCAGAGGGAGAGCCACCGCGCCCUUGAGACAAGGGGGGCAGCUGGGAGCUCCCGGACCAGAGAACAGGGGAAGAUGGGACCUCACUGAGGGACCCUCACCCAUGCAAAACUGGGGGCCGCCACCUCACCCCCUUGCUGGCAGCCGAUUCCGGCGGGCCUGAGACAAGGGGGGGCAGCUGGAAGCCCCCGGAGCAAGGGGGAAGAGAGGAUGGGACCUCUCAGAAGGGGGUCUCAUCCCUUAAACAAAAUUAUUUAAGCCCCAGUACUGUACCCUCUAUUCCCUGACCCCUUAGAACAC
rnacentral:lncRNA from 1 species